UACYCCCCGGGGACUAGCAUAUCAAUAAGCGGAGGAAAAGAAGACAACAGGGAUUGCCCUAGUAACGGCGAGUGAAGCGGCAACAGCUCAAAUUUGAAAUCUGGCGCAAGCCCGAGUUGUAAUUUGCAGAGGAUGAUUCUGGCGCGGUGCCUUCCGAGUUCCCUGGAACGGGACGCCAUAGAGGGUGAGAGCCCCGUACGGUCGCGUGCUAAGCCUUUGUGAAUCUCCUUCGACGAGUCGAGUAGUUUGGGAAUGCUGCUCAAAAUGGGAGGUAUACGUCUUCUAAAGCUAAAUAUUGGCCAGAGACCGAUAGCGCACAAGUAGAGUGAUCGAAAGAUGAAAAGCACUUUGAAAAGAGGGUUAAACAGUACGUGAAAUUGUUGAAAGGGAAGCGUUUAUGACCAGACUUGGGCUCGGUUGAUCAUCCGGCGUUCUCGCCGGUGCACUCUGCCGGCCCAGGCCAGCAUCAGUUUUUCCCGGGGGAUAAAGGCUUCGGUAAUGUGGCUCUUUCGGGAGUGUUAUAGACCGUUGUGUAAUACCCUGGGGUGGACUGAGGUACGCGCUCCGCAAGGAUGCUGGCGUAAUGGUUAUCAGCGACCCGUCUUGAAACACGGACCAAGGAGUCGUCUUCGUAUGCGAGUGUUCGGGUGUCAAACCCCUACGCGGAAUGAAAGUGAACGUAGGUGAGAGCUUCGGCGCAUCACCGACCGAUCCUGAUGUUCUCGGAUGGAUUUGAGUAAGAGCAUACGGGGCCGGACCCGAAAGAAGGUGAACUAUGCCUGUAUAGGGUGAAGCCAGAGGAAUCUCUGGUGGAGGCUCGCAGCGGUUCUGACGUGCAAAUCGAUCGUCAAAUAUGGGCAUGGGGGGCGAAAGACUAAUCGAACC
rnacentral:rRNA from 1 species